rnacentral:lncRNA from 1 species
GUUAAAAUAACAUCUCCAUGCCUUAUAUAUCAUGUACUGUAAGUACGACGUUAGAUUAAAACUGACAUGGAAAGGUUAGACUAUGGCUUCAAUAUUCAAUGUUUUAAAAGAUCAUGUUUUGCUUGGCGUAGACUUAAUAAGUUGGAAUAGAUCUACGAAGACCAAAGAACGGUCAUGUAUGGUUUGGCACUUGUACAUGCCCACCGAUGUCCAGAUAUUGUUCGAAAUUGUUUUUGAAAAGUUACGAUGCUACCGGACAUUGAAAAACAUGUCCUUUUUUCAUGGAAAAUUAAACUGUUACGGCAUAUUACAGAACACUAAACUGGCUUUCGUUGCUGUAAAUACAAGUUAAAAAGCUGACGUGGGUUACAUUAAAGCUAGAAAUCCCAAUCCUCCGGCAUCAAAUAAUUAAAAAGAAAAAGCACAUGACCUUUACGUCGUUUUGCAUUUGCGCCGAUCUGCAUUUCAUUUACGCCGAUUUUAACAUCAUUUCAGGGGUAAACUUGCAUUUAACGGUGUCCAGGUCCUAAAUAUAUAGAAAAUAAAGAGAUGCGGACUAAAUGUACACGGGACAAAAUCGCAAUCAAUACAUAGAAGAAAUACAAAUUAUCAACGAGCAUGGCUUUUAUUCCUGUUCUUCAUCUUGAAAGUAGCUGGAGGGAUUUCAACUCGGAACCGGACCAUUUAUACCCAUUAUACAAUAGCCACAUCGGUUAGUGCAUC